rnacentral:rRNA from 1 species
CACGUAGGGGGCAAGCGUUGUCCGGAUUCAUUGGGCGUAAAGGGUGCGUAGGCGGCGCGGUAAGUCGGAUGUGAAAUCCCGAAGCUCAACUUCGGGCGUGCAUCCGAAACUGCCCGACUAGAGGUAGGUAGGGAGAUCGGAAUCCGUGGUGUAGCGGUGAAAUGCGGCAGAAUAAUCAGGAGGAACACCGGUGGCGAAGGC